UUGGAGGAAUCCAGUGUUGUGGUGCUGGAGGACUUAGGAGCUGAUUAUCUGGAGGCACUUCUUAGCACAUCGGCGGAUCAAAGUGCAACAAGCUCUACCUGCUAAAUAAACAGAAAUUCUAUGGUAUCUUAAUCUUAAAAAAUUACAGGAUUUUAAUCCUGUUAUUUGGAAACUCUUUUCUUUUGUAUCUUUUUCUUCUUAUUCGUCAAAAUCAAUAACAAGUAUCAGACAUUUACAAUCGCUUAAUCAACUGAGUUAAACUUUCUUGAUCUUUUGUCUCUUUUCUUUUCCAAGACAUAUAUACAAAUUUAUUUAACUUUACCUAAGAAAUAUACAACUAUAUUAAAAACCUUUAGAUUUCUCAGAAUGUCUUAGCAACUUUUUUUUUUAUCAACAAAGUAAACAUAUAUAUAAAAGGUUACAAGAUAGCCCAACCCAUAUACAUAAAACAAAAUUAUAGGGUUUUAAUGCAAAAGAAAGGACCAUUUCUAAAAAGAAAAAGUAUAACCCUUGACCUUGGCGCAUAGUUGUGACCAAGAUCUAAAUUUUACAAAGUUCAUCAUAUACAUAGCAUUUAAUUUACCUCCUCACCAUUGAAGAUAAUGUGGUUUCUGUUCUUCCAUAUAGACUACAUGGCUGCAAACCACUAAGCAUUUUUCGCUUUUUUCCCUGUCACAGUAACAUAACGGUGUUGCAGAAAAUGAUUCCUAAUAUCAUUGAGCAACUCUCAAAUAAAUUCGUUCUUGUGAGAUUUACCCUUCUUAUGUUGAAUCUUCUCUCAUGCUUCCUAUUCCUCUUUUCUUUGUUUUCUUUACAACACCAUUUCAUGGCCUUUGAUCCCUUUAAAGUUCAUUUUGCAAAUACCUUUAAAGGGAAAACCCAAGGUACAAAUGGAAAGGCUUUCAAAAUUGAUCGUUUAUAUACUGUGGAGUUUCAAAAAUUUAAAGAUAAUUGUCUGUUUUGUGAGUCCUAGAGAAUUAAUCUCUUAAACUCAUGCACUCAAAGGCCUAGCGAAAUGGAGUACUCCAACAAGGCAUUUCGGUGUAUCAUCUACCCUCCUAGGACCUAGGCUUGAUAUAUUUUAUAGAGUAAUGAGUCCGGAUAUCACAAACACCUAUUUGAUAUUCUUGUUUUCUUUUUAUCUUUCUUUUCUAUUUUACAUUACCUAUCAUACCUAGAAUUUCUCUUCUUUUUUUUUUUUGUUUCUUUCUCAAGGUGUUAGAAUUAGCAUGUAUAUGUAUCUUUAUCCAUUUUAUAAAGAGCAAAGAUUACCUAUUCAAUAGCCAACAGUUAGAAAUGGUAAAAGAAAUUAAUUCUCAUUAACAAUAUGGUAAAUACUAAUAGUAAACCACUUUGAUUGUUUUAUAUAGCAGAACGAAUGGUACUUAAAUGGCACUAUUCAAACAACUAUAAUAAAACCAUCUUACAGAAGUUUCACCCCGAUAAAGAGAUAUUUGGAAUUUAUAAAGGAAAAAAAUGAUUUAGGGUUGCAGAUUCACAUCAAUAUACCCUAUAAUUGAAUAUGCAACUAAACUAUAUAAAUCUUAUAGGUGUCGCCCAAAACUAAAGGCGAGGAAAGAAACUUUUCUCAGCUCCGGGGGAAAAAAAACUAGAGAUCGACUUUUCAACUCACAACAUUAGUUUGUAAUAGCUGUGCAGUUACAAAAUUGACCUAGUGGUAUUGAUUUAGUGAUUAAAAGGAGAAUGAGAAAAAAAAAGAUCGUAAAUUCAAAUCUUUUUCAAUAAUAAAAUGCUAAUAAGUUAAGACUUAUUAAUAUUGACCGAUAAGAACAAAAACUAAAGCUGGGCUGAUCAAAUGCAUUUAUUCACUACCCAUUUCGGUGACCUGUGAAGGCUUGGACUAACAUAACAGUAAGAUUACCCUAUUAAUUAUACGACUUAAAGUCACAUGUUGAAAUCCUAAAAACAACAUUCUUGUUUAUUGGAAUAAGGCUAGAUAUAUAUACCUAUUUUUAGCUUCCCUAAAUCUUACAAUUACAAAGUGAAAAUAUGCAUAAAUUGCCAUUAAUUUUAUUAAUUUUUUGUAUUCUAAGUCACAGGUUCAAAUCAUAUAAAUAUUAAAUAGUCUCGUUAUUUACAGAAAUAAAGUUACAUACAUCUGUGUAAUAAUAAAAGAAAAGUUGCAUACAUGUACUUCUAUUAACUGAGUCUCAGGAAUUUAACUGUCCUUAUUUUACUUAAUGCACUUUGGCAACCAGAGGAAGCAUAAAACUAGCUGGCAUGUAACUAACGAAAAAAAAGAAGAAAACAGAAGCUAAUUAAUGGCAACAGUAUCAAAGACCAACCCUUAAUCAAAAGAACAGUUAUGCACGAUGCAAAAGUGCAAUUACCUCAUUAUCUUGUAGCAGCUCCUCCAUUUCUCCAGCAAAACAAUGUAUUUUGAAUCAAAAUCAUCAUACUCUCUAAUUAAUCAUAAAAUAAUUAAUGA
rnacentral:lncRNA from 1 species